rnacentral:rRNA from 1 species
CCUACGGGAGGCAGCAGUGAGGAAUAUUGGUCAAUGGCCGCAAGGCUGAACCAGCCAAGUCGCGUGAAGGAAGACGGACCUACGGUUUGUAAACUUCUUUUAUAGAGGAAUAAAGGUAUCCACGUGUGGCUAUUUGUAUGUACUUUAUGAAUAAGCAUCGGCUAACUCCGUGCCAGCAGCCGCGGUAAUACGGAGGAUGCGAGUGUUAUCCGGAUUUAUUGGGUUUAAAGGGUGCGUAGGUGGUUUGUUAAGUCAGCGGUGAAAGUUUGUGGCUCAACCGUAAAAUUGCCAUUGAUACUGGAAGUCUUGAGUAUGUUUGAGGUAGGCGGAAUGCGUGGUGUAGCGGUGAAAUGCAUAGAUAUCACGCAGAACUCCGAUUGCGAAGGCAGCUUACUAAGCCAUAACUGACACUGAAGCACGAAAGCGUGGGGAUCAAACAGGAUUAGAUACCCCUGUAGUC